rnacentral:SRP_RNA from 1 species
GUCUGUAUGGGGCGUCCCAUUGUAGCAGCCACGGUUUUCCUUUUGGGUCUCGUGCGAUGAGAAUCUAUGAAUCGUGUCAGGUUGGGAACAAAGCAGCACUAAGUAGAACCUCUCAUGUGCCGCGAGGGUGCCUAUUUGGAGUAAUCGUGUAGCGUGCAAUGGGAUGCCCCAUGCAGAC